AGAAUCCUCCAUCGUUCACAGUUUCUGAUCCUAAGCCUGUUUUAGCAAGAUCAUCCAGCUUCGAGCGACCGCGUCGUCGAGCCGUUCCAGCUGAGGAUCUCAAGCGACAAAGCCUUAUGGAACCUCUCACUGUUCCAACUACAGACCCCCUGUUGCAAAGCACUCCCAAGACUCCAGAGAGUGACAUAUUAGGAUUAGAGAUAGCCGAUGGGCCUACGUCUGAAGACAGAAACCUUCUCAUCUACCAGUUAAGACAAGAAAUUUUCCAGUUAAAGUUAGCUCUG